CCUACGGAGUGCAGCAGUGGGGAAUAUUGGACAAUGGGCGAAAGCCUGAUCCAGCCAUGCCGCGUGUGUGAAGAAGGCCUUCGGGUUGUAAAGCACUUUCAGUGGGGAAGAAAGCCUUGGGGCUAAUACCCUCGAGGAAGGACAUCACCCACAGAAGAAGCACCGGCUAACUCCGUGCCAGCAGCCGCGGUAAUACGGAGGGUGCGAGCGUUAAUCGGAAUUACUGGGCGUAAAGCGCGCGUAGGCGGUCUGAUAAGCCGGUUGUGAAAGCCCCGGGCUCAACCUGGGAACGGCAUCCGGAACUGUCAGGCUAGAGUGCAGGAGAGGAAGGUAGAAUUCCCGGUGUAGCGGUGAAAUGCGUAGAGAUCGGGAGGAAUACCAGUGGCGAAGGCGGCCUUCUGGACUGACACUGACGCUGAGGUGCGAAAGCGUGGGUAGCAAACAGGAUUAGAUACCCGGGUAGUC
rnacentral:rRNA from 1 species